AGGGAACAGAUCAUCAACAAAUUUUCAUCAGAUCAAUAUUUCGGUAAGUUUUGUUUACACAAAGUAUAGGUAUUAUUUGAUAUUAUCUUAUUUUAAAAUUAUUAUGAGGUAUUUAACACGAAUUUUAUGAACACCACCGGUCUCUCGGAGGUUACUUUUCGUACGUUCUGUAUCGUGUGUUAAUACUCUUGAGAAACGAAUCGAUAGUAACCGCGAAGCUAACCUAUUGACUAAUUUAAUUGUGUUUAGUAUAGAAACGUUCCCCGCUAAAGUAAUUAUGAGAAUUACAUGGGUAAUUCACGGACAAAAGUCUGCUUAUGGGGUAUAUCAUAUUAUUGUGAAAAUCUAGGAUUACGGGUCAUUUGACCACCGUGUACAGAUUAUUCUUAUUCGGUUUGGUUAGGUUCGGCACGGUUUAGUGGUUUUUGUGUUUCAUCAUUUUUUUUUAAAUCUGAAAGUGGUUUUAUCAUGAAAAAAUCGAUAUGGAUGAUCACAAUUUUUAAAUUUUAAAAGGACUCUAAUAUUUGUUCACUUCACUUAAUAAUUUUCCGUUUCUUGUUAGUUAACUACUAACAUUAACAUUGCAGAUAAUAGCAAAGAAUAACGUCUAAUAAAAAUUUAGUCUGGGUGUGGAGGAGAUGAACAUAACGAAUGAAAAUAUAACACACUAUAAUCGUAUUUCGCCAUGAGUAUUAUGUAGUUCACGUUUUUAAAACGAUGUGAUCAAAUCAAAAUCUAACCGAUGAUGUUAAAGUAUUUAUUAUGUGGGCAGCGUGGGCGCUAAAAAAUAAAUUAUAGUGUAUCUCAUUGUCUGGC